rnacentral:SRP_RNA from 10 species
GCUGUCAUGUGGUGUGCCUAUAGCUCCACCUGUUUGGGAGGCUGAGGUAGGAGGAUCACUUGAGUCUAGAAGUUAUGGCUAUAGUGUGCUCUGCCAAUUGAGUGUCCACACUAAGUUUGGCAUCAAUAUGGUGACCUUCUGGGGGUGGAGGACCACCAGGUUGUCUAAAGAAGAGUGAAAUCAGCAGGGGCAGAAACAGAGCAGGUGAAAACUCCCAUUCUGAUCAGUAGUGGGAUGACGCCUGUGAAUAGCCAUUGCACUUCACCCUGGGCAACACAAUGAGGCCCUGUCU